UUAAAUUAAUAAGGGCGUAUGGUGGAUGCCUAGGCAUUAGAAGACGAAGAAGGACGCGACAAACAGCGAAAUUGCCUCGGGGAGUUGUAAGUAAACAUUGAUCCGGGGGUAUCCGAAUGAGGAAACUUACCAAGAAAGGUAUCCUAAAAUGAAUAUAUAGUUUUAGUGAAGGAAACCCUGUGAACUGAAACAUCUUAGUAACAGGAGGAAAAGAAAGAAAAAUCGAUUGCCUUAGUAGUGGCGAGCGAAACGGCAAUAGCCCAAACCAAUCUACGGAUUGGGGUAGUAGGACACUUCGAAACGAGGAUAAGAGCUAAAGAUAGCUAAAUGAUUUGGGAAAGUCAGUCAAAGAAGGUGAAAACCCUGUAGGCGAAAUCUGAAGCACUCAGAAGUGAAUCCUGAGUACGGCGGGACACGAGAAAUCCUGUCGGAAUCAACGGGGACCAUCCCGUAAGGCUAAAUACUCUCUAAUGACCGAUAGUGAACAAGUACCGUGAGGGAAAGGUGAAAAGAACCCCGGGAGGGGAGUGAAAUAGAGAAUCUGAAACCAUAUGCUUACAAAAAGUUCGAGCCCGUUAAAGGGUGAGAGCGUGCCUUUUGCAGAAUGAGCCGGCGAGUUAUGGUAUUGUGCAAGGUUAAGUAGAAAAUACGGAGCCGAAGCGAAAGCGAGUCUUAAAAGGGCGAAAAAGUACAAUGCUGUAGACCCGAAACUGAGUGAUCUAGCCAUGAGCAGGUUGAAGUGUAGGUAACACUACAUGGAGGACCGAACCAGGGUACUAUGUAACGUGCUUGGAUGACUUGUGGUUAGCGGUGAAAUUCCAAUCGAACUCAGAGAUAGCUGGUUCUCCCCGAAAUAGGUUUAGGCCUAGCCUUGAAGAAUUUCCUCUGGAGGUAGAGCACUGAAUGUGGAAUGGCCGCGUCUAGCGGUACUGACUGCAAUCAACCUCCGAAUGCCAGAGUAGUUAGCUUCAGGAGUCAGUUUAUGGGUGAUAACGUCCAUAUGCGAGAGAAAAACAAUUCAGACCACCAGUUAAGGUCCCAAAAUAUAUGUUAAGUGGGAAAGGAUGUGGAGUUGCACGAACAGCUAGGAGGUUGGCUCAGAAGCAGCCAUCCUUUAAAGAGUGCGUAAUAGCUCACUAGUCGAGUGGCUCUGCGCCGAAAAUGUACCGGGGCUAAACAUAUUACCGAAACUGUGGAUUUAUGCAAUAGCAUAAGUGGUAGGGGAGCGUUCUAAGGGUGACGAAGAUAGAUCGAGAGGACUAUUGGAGCGCUUAGAAGUGAGAAUGCCGGUGUGAGUAACGUAAGGUAGGUGAGAAUCCUACCCACUGAUUGACCAAGGAUUCCAGGGUCAAGUUCGUCUACCCUGGGUAAGUCAGGACCUAAGGCGAGGCUGAGAAGCGUAGUCGAUGGACAACAGGUUUAUAUUCCUGUACUAUUUAUAGGACUGAAGGAGUGACAAAGGAAGCUAGUAAGAGCCAUUUAAUGGAUUAUGGUCUAAGCACAAAGACUGAUACAUAGGAAAAUCCGUGAUAUCGAACGGUUGAAGUGUGAUGGCGAAGCAGUCUACGGACAGCGAAGUCUUAUGAGGCUAAACUUUUUAAAAAAGCUUCUAAAGAAAUGCUAUAAAUACCUGUACUAAGAACCAACGCAGGUGGUCAAGGAGAGAAUCCUAAGGUGAGCGAGAGAACUAUGGUUAAGGAACUCGGCACAAUGAUCCCGUAACUUCGGAAUAAGGGAAGGUCUUGAAAAAGACCCGCAGUGAAUAGGCCCAAGCGACUGUUUACCAAAAACACAGGUUUCUGCAAAAGCGUAAGCUGAAGUAUAGGAGCUGACGCCUGCCCAGUGCUGGAAGGUUAAGAUGAUUUGUAAGAUGGACGAAAGUCGAUAACAUCGAAGCAAUGAAUUGAAGCCCCAGUGAACGGCGGCGAUAACUAUAAUCGUCCAAAGGUAGCGAAAUUCCUUGUCAGGUAAGUUCUGACCCGCAC
rnacentral:rRNA from 1 species